UCCCGCUUAGCUCAGUGGUAGAGCGCAUCACUAGUAUGAUCCUUUCGGGUGUGCGAAAUGAUGAGGUCAGUCGUUCAAGUCGGCUAGUGGGAA